UCAGGUGGCUGGACGGCCGCGGUGGCAAGGCUGGAAACGGCGCCAUCGAGGAAAGUCCGGGCUCCACGGAGACAAGGUGCCGGGUAACUCCCGGCGGGGGUGACCCCAGGGAAAGCGCAGCAGAGAGCAGACCGCCGGGGCUUCGGCUCCGGUAAGGGUGAAAGGGUGCGGUAAGAGCGCACCGCCCCGACCGCAAGGAAGGGGGCACGGCAAGCCCCACCUGGAGCAAGACCGAAUAGGGAUGAACGGGUUCGCCCACAUGCGUCUCCGCAUGUCAUCCGGGUAGGUCGCACCAGACCGUCCGCAAGGCCGGUCGCAGAUGAAUGGUCGUCGCCCCGGUUCGCCGGGGAACAGAACCCGGCUUACAGGCCACCUGAUCCU
rnacentral:RNase_P_RNA from 1 species